GAUGAACGCUGGCGACGUGCCUAAUACAUGCAAGUCGAGCGAACAGAUGAGGAGCUUGCUCCUCUGACGUUAGCGGCGGACGGGUGAGUAACACGUGGAUAACCUACCUAUAAGACUGGGAUAACUUCGGGAAACCGGAGCUAAUACCGGAUAAUAUAUUGAACCGCAUGGUUCAAUAGUGAGAGACGGUUUUGCUGUCACUUAUAGAUGGAUCCGCGCCGCAUUAGCUAGUUGGUAAGGUAACGGCUUACCAAGGCAACGAUGCGUAGCCGACCUGAGAGGGUGAUCGGCCACACUGGAACUGAGACACGGUCCAGACUCCUACGGGAGGCAGCAGUAGGGAAUCUUCCGCAAUGGGCGAAAGCCUGACGGAGCAACGCCGCGUGAGUGAUGAAGGUCUUCGGAUCGUAAAACUCUGUUAUUAGGGAAGAACAAAUGUGUAAGUAACUAUGCACGUCUUGACGGUACCUAAUCAGAAAGCCACGGCUAACUACGUG
rnacentral:rRNA from 1 species